UUCCUUUCUUGAGUGUUGGUGUUCUUCUGAAGAGGACAAUGCCACUCUACAGAAACAGCAGGCCCCAUGCUGUUUCUGUAGAGUUGCAUUGUCCUCUUCAGAAAAACACCAACACUCAAAAGAGGAA
rnacentral:miRNA from 1 species